AAGUGGAGUUGGUGUGGAGAUCUGGGAGUGUGAACUCAGGAUGAAGAUCCUCCUCAUCUUCACCCUCUGUCUGAUCUCAGAUGGAGGAGCCUCCAAGAACGUAACAGGAUAUUCACGAGGAGGAGUGCUUAUCAAGUGCAAGUAUGAUACAGAAUACACACCAAACAAAAAAUAUUUCUGUAAGGGUUCAUGGCCAGGCUGUUCUGACCAAAUAAAGACAGGAGCUAAAAACGAGUGGAUAAAUUCAGGAAGAUUCUCACUGUUUGAUGACACCAAAUCAGCAGAGUUCAGUGUGAAGAUCAGAGAGCUCACUGUAGAGGACACUGGGACAUACCAGUGUGGAGUUAAUAAAGAUUUAUGGAAAGACAUUUACACACCGGUGGAACUGAAGGUGAAGGAAGGGGGCUCGGUCUCUAGAGAAGUGAGUGCAUAUGCAGGGGGAGGAAUCAACAUCAAGUGCAGAUAUGAGGAUGAAUAUAAAGACAAACCCAAAUCUUUCUGUAAGAUGGGAACACAUCAGUGGUGUUUUUAAUC
ensembl:lncRNA